rnacentral:rRNA from 1 species
ACGUGGGUAACCUGCCUUUAAGACUGGGAUAACAUUCGGAAACGGAUGCUAAUACCGGAUAGGCGAUUUGGUCGCAUGAUCGAAUCGAGAAAGAUGGAGCAAUCUAUCACUUAGAGAUGGACCCGCGGCGCAUUAGCUAGUUGGUGAGGUAACGGCUCACCAAGGCGACGAUGCGUAGCCGACCUGAGAGGGUGAUCGGCCACACUGGGACUGAGACACGGCCCAGACUCCUACGGGAGGCAGCAGUAGGGAAUCUUCCGCAAUGGACGAAAGUCUGACGGAGCAACGCCGCGUGAGUGAUGAAGGUUUUCGGAUCGUAAAGCUCUGUUGCCAGGGAAGAACGCUUGGGAUAGUAACUGCUCCCAAGGUGACGGUACCUGAGAAGAAAGCCCCGGCUAACUACGUGCCAGCAGCCGCGGUAAUACGUAGGGGGCAAGCGUUGUCCGGAAUUAUUGGGCGUAAAGCGCGCGCAGGCGGCCUUGUAAGUCUGUUGUUUAAACUCGGGGCUCAACCCCGAGUCGCAAUGGAAACUGCAAAGCUUGAGUACAGAAGAGGAAAGUGGAAUUCCACGUGUAGCGGUGAAAUGCGUAGAGAUGUGGAGGAACACCAGUGGCGAAGGCGACUUUCUGGGCUGUAACUGACGCUGAGGCGCGAAAGCGU